rnacentral:rRNA from 1 species
CCUGCGGGACGCAGCAGUGGGGAAUAUUGCACAAUGGGGGAAACCCUGAUGCAGCGACGCCGCGUGAGUGAAGAAGUAUUUCGGUAUGUAAAGCUCUAUCAGCAGGGAAGAAGAAAGACGGUACCUGAAUAAGAAGCCCCGGCUAACUACGUGCCAGCAGCCGCGGUAAUACGUAGGGGGCAAGCGUUAUCCGGAUUUACUGGGUGUAAAGGGAGCGUAGACGGCGGUGCAAGUCUGGAGUGAAAGGCAGGGGCCCAACCCCUGGAAUGCUCUGG